AUGGGCGCGCCGGACACAUCAUGGGUGUUCGCGGACCUCGCCGUCGCCGACAGCUCCAGGUACAGUACCCGCUCGCGGCUGCUCCUCACGGGGCUCUCCUUCGCCAUCGGCAUCCUCACCCUCCUCCUCUACCUCGCCGUCUCCUAUGCCUGCCGCCGCCGCCGCCGUUGCCGCCGUCAGCGCGGCGCUGGCGCGGGUGCAGGUGCGAAGGACCAGGAGGCCGGCAUGAGCGACGCGGCGAUCGUGUACGAGCAGGCCGACGCGCAGUCGGCGCCCAUGGACUGCGCGGUGUGCCUCGGGCAGGUGGAGGCCGGCGAGAAGCUGCGUCGGCUCCCCAAGUGCGCGCAUCUGUUCCACGCCGACUGUGUCCACGCCUGGCUGCAAGCGCACUCCACCUGCCCCAUGUGCCGCGCCGCCACCACUGGCAGCACCCCGGCCACGGCAGCGGCGGCAGAGGCGCUGCCACCUGGUGUGGUUGCAGCUGGAAGCACGCCGCCUGCCUUGAACGGAUGA
rnacentral:rRNA from 1 species